UACGAAGGGGGGCUAGCGUUGCUCGGAAUCACUGGGCGUAAAGGGUGCGUAGGCGGGUCUUUAAGUCAGGGGUGAAAUCCUGGAGCUCAACUCCAGAACUGCCUUUGAUACUGAAGAUCUUGAGUUCGGGGAGAGGUGAGUGGAACUGCGAGUGUAGAGGUGAAAAUUCGUAGAUAUUCGCAAGAACACCAGUGGCGAAGGCGGCUCACUGGCCCGAUACUGAC
rnacentral:rRNA from 1 species